rnacentral:rRNA from 1 species
CGAAGGAUUCGAGCGUUAUCCGGAUUUAUUGGGUUAAAGGGUGCGUAGGUGGAUUAAUAAGUCAGUGGUGAAAGCCCGGAGCUCAACUCUGGAACUGCCAUUGAUACUGUUAGUCUUGAGUACAGUUGAGGUGGGCGGAAUGUGUCAUGUAGCGGUGAAAUGCUUAGAUAUGACACAGAACACCGAUUGCGAAGGCAGCUCACUAAGCUGUAACUGACACUGAGGCACGAAAGUGUGGGUAGCAAACAGGAUUAGAUACCCUGGUAGUCCACACCCUAAACGAUGAUUACUCGUUGUUGGCGAUACACAGUCAGCGACUAAGCGAAAGCAUUAAGUAAUCCACCUGGGGAGUACGGUCGCAAGACUG